GCUAAUGCCGUGUUCCUGUAAGCUAAAACUGGCUAGUCACUCCGUUCCCCGUAUCUAAAACCCCUCCUAACUAAUUUUAGGGUUUUAAAUUGUCCAUUUCUUUGUGCUUCUUCUCGUUGGUUACAGCAAGUCCCAAAUUCAAAACUAGGUUAGUUGUUGUUAAAUUCAAAUUCAGGUUCAAGAAUUGCUUAUCAUUUACUGGCGACGAAGGUGUUGGAUCAAAUAACUCAAUUUCAGGUACAAGAUUGGUUUCAAAACAAGUGUCAAGCUGGACCAGAUAAAGUUAAUAACUCUCCUCUUACUACCCAAAUCAAGAGGUUUCUCUCAGCAACUCGUCGUUUUCAGACAGCAAACGUGAAGAUUAUUCUGACAACUCUCAAGGCACCAUAUUGGUUUCAAAACAAGUGUCAAUCUGGAUCACAUAAAGUUACUAACUCAAGAGGUUUCUCUCAGAAACUCGUCGUUUUCAAAUAGCAAAUGUGAAGAUUAUUCUGACAACUCUGGAGGUUUUCUCUUUUCCUUGUAUGGUCAAAUGAUUAAUUUUGCAUUCCAUCUAUUGUUUAGCAUCAUCAUCCUUAACCUGCACUAUUUUUAACAUCUAUGAGGUUAUGUUUUCGAUUACAGCACAUCAACUUCAUUAUUGUAAUGAGAAUAUUUUCUGUUAGGAUUUGCAUUGGUGCCAUUUAUCAUGUAAAACUCAGCAAGUCUUUAAUUAGGAUAAGAAGUAAAACUCAAUAUGUUACCUUGUUCACUGCAGACAAGUAAACUUAGUUAAGCACUUUUCUGAACAAAGACUAUAAAGUAGAUAGAGAUGGAAUAUUGAUGUAUAGUAACCUCUUAGUCAGUUUGGAUAAAGCUCAGGUCAUACAGUUGGGGCAAUCAGAGGAUAUGAAAACGUCGCUUCAAAGGUUUGAUGAAAAUUACUGUAAUAUUUCGAGAAAAUUACACUGAUCAGUCUGAUUCUAGAUUUUAUAAAGUAGGUGGUUCUUAGGAGGUACUUAGUCAUCCCUUAGGGAACAUCUGAUAAAUAUAAAGGAAUUUCUUAGUCACAAAUUUAUUCUUCCUUAUCCGUAAUCUUGCACUAUAUGCAUAAUCCUUUUCCAAAGAUCGGCUUUUUAUAAUUCUUUAUAGAAUACUCCCUCCUUCAACAAAAAGUGGGUCGUUCAGGUUUUCAUUGUCUUUCAGUGUAUUAAAUAGGCAAAAAUGAAAGACUCAUUUUUUGUGGGAUGGAAAUAGUAUGUUAGACUUUGCUUGCCUUUAGCGUAGAACAAUUGCUUCCGUACCUUAUAAAAUCUGCUGAAACGUUGUAUUCCAUUAGCUUCUAAACGGUACUUUUGUUUGUAGUGUUGUAAUUAACCUAGCUGAUGUGAGUAGGGUAAUAGAUAGUUGGUCGUGUUAUAAUUUUAUAUGCCAAGACGUUAACUAAGUUACAACCUAACCAAUUCAUAUUUAUACCUCAGGCUCGAAAUCGGCUGACGUUCAUGAUUUCUCUUUAGUCUCUUCUGGUUUACUGAUCCCUUUAUUUCUAUUAAAAUCUCUUGUGUAGUUCUUUCUGUUUUUCUUCCCUUUUCUCUUUGACAUACGAUUGAUAACUACUGAGGUGGUGGUGUUGAGCAGAGAGGCUUAUAUUUCUGGAGUACCUUCUCUUUCAAUCCUAGUAGCUGUGCUAGACAGGCUUUGAGCUGGUCAUAAACCACGCAUAUUGACAGUCUUUUUCGGUUAGAGAACCCCACUUUGUUAUCUUUUUCUUAGUUUCCUUCUUCAUCUUUUGAGCAGUUUGUUCUUCAGGAUUUUCUUCAGUCUUUAAGGCAUCCGUGUCUCAUUGACUACUCUAUUCUAUCGCUAUCCUCCGUAGUUUCUCACUGUCGGUCUCCCGUGAUAAGAAAAGAAGUGUAAUUCCGCAUUCAGGAUAUGGAGGGCAAUUCUAAGCAAAUUGAGGAUGAGGAGGAAGAAGAGGAAUACGUGUUACUUGAUCUUGAAGCUGUUUAUGAACAAGUAAACAUCCCGCCUAAUGCACCUUAUGAUCUAUCUGGUUUGGAUACUUUGAAUCCAGUUUUGGAAUUAGGCGACAAUUUGAAGCUGAUAGGAAUAUACGAGGAAACUAUUGGUACAUGCCUCGUGUUCUCAGAAAAAGAUGGUGGUCCUGUGGUGCACGAGGAGACGGGACCCUCAGAUCAAAACCUUUUCAAAGGAGCUUGCAUUGUUGAUCCAAAUCAAACUUCAGCUAAGCAAGUAAAACCUGUUGCCAGCCUUCAGAAAAUUCUCAAGUUUAGAUUGCCAUCUGAAGAAGAUUGACUAGAAAACUCUGGUAGUAAUUUUAUUUUUUGUCUACAUUUUAAUGAAAAUUAAAAAUUGUGCAUUCUUGCACCAAAGUCUAAA